AGGGUGCUCACGGGAGACUGAGCUGAUGCAGGGGUCGGGCCUGUGCUCCUCGCGGCUUUCACGCGUGUAGAAUGUGACUAGCGUGGCCGGGGAGCAGAAUUGUCAAAUGCAAAGGGUUUGGUGGGAAGCAGGCGGUUCUCGGCUUGUUCUUUUAAAUGUCAUCUCUUUUCUCCUCCCACAGUCCUGUGAGGUGAAAGUAUUAUUCCUUUUGUGCAGGUGAAGGAAGCAGGGCCGAUGGUAGAGCGAGGGGUGUCGGGUCGUUGAACUUCCAAGGCUGGGCUCUUUCAGGGAGACCCCACUUCCUGCCCCCAGGAGCCUGAGGGUCUUGCCAGGAGCGAGCAGUCCCGAGGGCAGCCUUGCUCCCGCCCAGCCCCCCUGAGUUGUUCCCUGCUAGGGCCCGUGACAAACGCCAAGAGCAAACAAAACUGUCCGACUCCUCGAACUCUGACAUCUUCCCACCGGCUUCUCUCAGGUUUUGGAAAAUGAAUGGGUUAGGGCCUAACCAUUAGGCAGCAGGUGGAACUGCGGAUCACCCCCACUGCGGGCUUGUUACUUUAGGGUGCGUGUUCCCGAGCAGUGGUGGAAGGUUCGGUGGUAAAGGCAGAAGCUAGGGCCGUGGGUGAGGUGUUGGAGGCACCGUGGACCAGGGAAUGAGCGCCCAGCGCAGUGCAAGUGACAGAACAGGAGUGAGUGGCCCCUAGUUCCGGGGGGACCUUGACCCAGUCACUGCCUUGGAGCCUCAGUGUUCCUUCUGUAAAAGGCAUUUGGCAUCGCAUGGUCUCCAGGAUCCUCCAGCUCCAGGAGUCUGUCCCUUUAAGUUGAGUCGGAGGUUUGCUUUCUAGAAUCUAGAGCAUCGCUGGUUUCCCGUGGGACGGAUGAGUGCCGGCCUCUGAAUUGGUGUGUUUGACCAUUAUUGGCUUAUCGCUAGGAACACAUCUAUUUGAAUUAUGCAACGUGUCGGCGCUGAUGGACAAACUGUAAAGCAGUUAAUGAUUUAUCGGUUGGCAGGGUUCCCAGUAAAAUGCCAAGUGUAUUUGUGUGCCAGUCUGAGCCGCGCCGACAUCAGGAGAAAACGUGCAGACUGUUUCCGCGGCGGUUGGCCUCCGAGAGGGUUGAGUGGCGCGGCCAGGAUUCACAGAUGGAUUCACUGGAAAAGACAACACACAGAAGUGAACAAAAGUCCAGCAGAAAGUUUUUAAAAAGCCUCGUCCAGAAACAGCCGCAGGAGCUGCUGCUGGUGAUCGGCACGGGCGUGAGCGCGGCCGCGGCCCCCGGCAUCCCCGCGCUCUGCUCCUGGCGGAGCUGCCUGGAGGCCGUCAUCGAGACCGCGGAGCAGCUGGACGUGCUGCACCCCGGGGACGCGGCCCAGUUCCGCAGGAAGGUGACGAAGGACCGGGACCUGCUGGUCGUUGCCCACGAUCUGAUCCGGAAGAUGUCACCGCGGACGGGCGACACCAAGCCCAACUUCUUCCAGGACUGCCUGAUGGAGAUCUUCGACAACCUGGAGCAGCACCUCCAGCACCCACAGGUGCUGCAGUCCAUCCUCAGCCUGAUGGACCGGGGCACCAUGGUGCUGACCACCAACUACGACAACCUGCUGGAGAUCUUCGGGCAGCAGCAGAACAGGCCCAUGGAGUCCCUGGACCUGAAGGACAAGACCAAGGUCCUCCAGUGGGCACGAGGGCACAUCAAGUACGGAGUGCUCCACAUCCACGGCCUCUACACGGACCCCUGUGGGAUGGUCCUGGACCCCUCGGGAUACAAGGACGUCACGCAAGACCCGGAAGUGAUGGAGGUGUUCCAGAGCCUGUACCGCACCAGGUCCUUCCUGUUCGUGGGCUGCGGGGAGACCCUGCGCGACCAGAUCUUCCAGGCGCUCUUCCUGUACUCGGUGCCCAACAAGGUGGACCUGGAGCACUACAUGGUGGUGCUCAAGGAGAGCGAGGACCACUUCUUCAAGCACCAGGCCGACAUGCUGCUGCACGGCAUCAAGGUCGUGUCCUACGGGGCCUGCUUCGACCACUUCCCGGGGUACGUGCAGGACCUGGCCACGCAGAUCUGCCGGCAGCGGAGCCCAGAUGCCGACAGAGUGGACAGCACCACGCUGGGGAGUGGGUGCCAGGACUGCGCCAAGAGGAAGCUGGAGGAGAACGGAAUUGAAGCUUCUAAGCAGCUCCGGCCCUCAGAUGAUGCUGGCGCAUCUUGAAAUCUUUAAAACCGACAAACCUGCAACUUGAAAACCAGCCUUCUGUGACCACAGUGCCGUAGCGGACGAUGAGGAAUGUUCGAGGACUCGCACGGACCUCUCACUUCUAACCGUCAUGUACCCCCCGAGAGCCCUGUGGGGUGUGGCCGUGGAGUAGGGGGGACAGUCCCACUGUGUGUCUAACUGCUCGGGGUGAAGUGCACACCUCAGGUAUCCUCCGUGAGGACUGGCGGACAACUACCUCAGGGCCCGACGGUGGGAAGGGAGGGGCCUGGUGCUCCAGGCUCCCCGACACGCCCGUGGUCAGGUGGGCUUCCUAAUAAAGGGGACAGUGGAGACUACAAGCAACAGUAGUUGCCAAAGAGAAAAGAAACUAGACUCUUAAAUUUUAUAAUUUUUAUGCGGAAACAUGUUACCAUAGAAAAAACUCUUAAGAAGCUGGUUUCAGGAACGCGAGGAUGCUGCCUGAGGACCUGCCGCCUGAGUCCAAGUUAUGAGAACGGGCAGCCCAGGAAGAGGAAGGGGCCACAGCUCUGAUGGCACUGAAGGGACAUGACAGUGUUAAACUGAUGUCUUUCAAGGCAGGAAAGUCGGAGAUUGAGGUGCUAUUGCCGGCACUGAAACAAGGAACACAGGGAGACUGAGUGGUCUCUGUUCUCCAGUUCACAGAGGAGCAGGGAGCAAGGCUGUGACUGCACGUCUGGCACAGUGCAUCCUGUUUAUAUGCGACGUGAGUGUAGUUUGAAAGUGAGUCCGCUACUUCAGGAGCUACUCCUUGGUGGCACCUGGGCCCACGCAGUCUCCACUAGACCAGUAGCACCUCCGAAUGUUCCAUUCCGUCCUGAGAUGGAAGUAAAGUCCUGCUGACUGUCUUUCCCACCUGGAACAAUGCACUGAAAUGGCAAAGUCAGUUGUUACUUGGAAAGUCUGUUCAUUUCCUUCUGAACAGAAAUUACAUUUAGAAAAUGCAGAUUGCGUUGAAGUGGACAUAAUUCAGUUUCACCUUAAAAUUUUUGUUUAUAAAACUGUAAUUUGGAAACAUUUGAAAUUAGAGUAUUUUUAUUGAUAUUUUCAUACAUCAGUUCCUCUGAAAUAAUUUCUCAAAACCCAGGUUAACACCCUAUAACUAGGAUAUUCAGAAACCAAGACUAUCCUUUAAACGUUCCUUAAAUGGACAAGGCAAGACCAGAGUGAAGAGGAUGUAGAAUUCAAAAUUUUUCUGGCUGGGCUUCAAAAUGGAACUUGAAACUAUGGUAACAAAAUUGUACCUUUUUUUUUUUUUUUUUUUUUAAAUCGUUCAAAGCUAACUCUUCCAGGAAACUUUCCCUACGGGAGCGGGGCCUAAACACUCCUAACGGAAGUGAGCAGCAGCUUCUUUGCUGGUAACGGUUCAGCUUUCUCAGACGGCACACAGGCUUGCUGCCUCCAGAAGUUGGUGACUCAACAGUUUGAACGCUAGAGUGAGAACUGAACAGUGAUGACCUGACCACAGCUAACUCAUCCGCUCUGAGAGCCGGCAGCUGCGCCGGGGCACUCGGACCCUAGCGGGACUCUCGCUGUCUCCUGCUGCCUUCUUCGCCUUCAGUGUCUGGAUACUGAGAAAGAUCUAAAGUCAGAACUCGGCUGAACAUGUAGUCAUCGUGCUGAAAUGAAGAGCAGACAGCUAAGUUAGUCCUUCCACGAAGGAAAAGGUGCUAUUAAGCCUAAAACAAGAGCCAGUAGUGAAUUUGGACUUGCAUUUGAAAGGAAACAUAUGGUAUGGCCACCUCAGAAGGUAUCAAUGGCAUUGCAUCAGCUUUAUUAGCUCAUUUCUGUAUUACCUGGACAGGGUAUCAGGAUGUGCCACGCCAAAAUAUGGCUCUGGCAUGUGGACUGUUGGAGCUACUGAGAUGCAGGGAAAGCUCUAACACUGGCCACAAGUCCUGCUUUUCUAAAUUCACACCUUCCCUACUCUAACGACUGCUGUCAACGAAAGGCACCUAUGUGAUCUGCAGAGCAAACGUGGCUUGGCCACCAUGCUUUCCUGGUCGCCUUCCACCUCUGCUCCCCCUCCCCCUGCUCCUUUCCUCACUUCGGCCUGAGACUGGAGAGGAGCCCACGUUCUAGCCACCCCUUUGGGUUACUCGGCCAUGAUGCUCCCGCUUGCUUGUCUGUCUUGCCAGUCUGAUUGACAGGCCCAGCCAGAGCCGCUAAGGUGGGCAGACUGUUUCGAUUGUUUUCCUCCCUUACCCCGUGUGAGAAUUUUCACUUCUCUACUGCAGCACAUCUCCAGUGGGCCCCCAACAAUUUGUAGGCACAGGAAGCGAAAUUUUUAUCUUAGCAUCUCAUUGUCCAAAAAUGGAACGAUCAGAAAUCCUCCAUUACCUCGAGUAUUUUGAAUAGCUUAAGAAAGAUUUGUUCACUUCUAAAAGUUACUAUACAACUUGGAACUUUCAGUCAAUUUCUUUGCUUUUCCCUCUGGUAUUUUUGGAAGAUAAAUGGUUCCUUAUUAGUUCUACCACAAUACAUUUGCUUUUGCCUAAAACAUUCAAACAUUACAGAAAUAGGAAUACAGUAUUACAGCUUACUUUGUGUAAAUAUGCUGUUAUUUUAUAAAGAAAAUUCUGUAAUUUUCAAUUUGUCUUUUCAGAUCUUAAAUCUUUGUACUGUCACAGAAAAAUACCUGAAUAGUUACUUUUAAUCUUAUUUAAUUAAAAAAUAAUGUAAGCCUGUAGUUAUCACUGCAGAAACCCAGCAGUAUCUCCAGUCUCCAGGAGGAAAGGACGGGAAGGGUGCUCAUCUUUACCUCUGGGUAGAUGCCGAUCAGGGCGUCAGCCUUGGCAUAGAACUCCUCCUUGAGGGAGAUGAUUAUCAUCUGAAACUGUUCUUGAGUCUGCUCUUUGAUGUAACUUGCUACCUGGUAGGAAGGAAAAAGCACACAUUUCACCAGCAAGGAAGGCCUCGUUUCUGGGCCCGGGGCCAGUGAUCCUGCAGGUCUGUUUGCCCGUUUAGGUGACAGGAACUUACUUGCCUCCCUGGUAAUUUGGUAAACCCACUCCAACCACAGAAAUAGCUCAGAGUCUAAAAUAAGAGGUUAGGAAAGAUAUCUCUAAAUCUAUGAUCUAAAACUUUAAGAAUAUUUUUAAGGAUAAAACUCUGCCUUAUCUACAAUAUGGUAUAAAGCAAGCCUUUAUUAACAGUAUAAGAACUACCACUCAGAUAGUUUAUGAGGGUGAAGAAGGACUGGUAUUUUAACUUCCAACUUCCUAUUUUGCCAACUCAAAGCCUGAAAGAGGGAUCCAUGGCAAUGACGUAUUCAUGACUCAGUCAUGUGGGGAGAGGUGGUUUCUUCCGGAAGGUCAGUUCCCAGGACCGAGCAGAACAGGAUAGUCUGCACAGAAAUGGGUCUUAGUGAGCACCUGCUCAGAGCCUGGAGGGUGGUGACCUAGGACCCAAGCCACAGCUCACUGAGACGCUUCCAGCUCCCGCUCUCCCUGCCUAGGGGGGGCUUCUCCGUGUGCCCUGGUCCUGGCUGCACCCGAGAUGCUAAGGACGAUACUAAGGACGCAGCACCGGAGGCAGGAAUGGCGAGCUUCAGGGAGGAGUGAGUCAUUAGGGAGCUGAACCCUGAGGAGGGAAACUGCUUUUGACUCAGAGAAGGAACUCCAACUUGAGGGGCACAGUAGUCAUCCGAUGCAGGACUGAGUCCCAGGAUACUGACUGGAUAGAAGAGGAGGGAGGAUGCAAAGACGCAGGGCGUGCGUUUUGCCUGCAAAGUUGCCUGGGUAAGGGUUGGGCAACCUGAUCACAAGCAGCGGUGGAGCUGCUGCUUAGCUGUUCAUACUACAAAACUGCCCCGAGUGCGCAGUGGGGUGCCAGGAGCGCACACCCCUAAGGGAAACUGGGAGCAAAGAGGCUUUUAAUACACAGGGUAGGUGAUGACAGGUCUUAUGUUAGACCUAGUACCUGGGGAUACCAUGAGUACGUCUGAAUUUUGCAAGAAGAUACGGACAUCCUAAAUGCCACUGAGAAGAUGCAGCCUACCAAAAUAAGAUGUCCCCUCACCCCCUGUAACAGAAGAGGGGAUACAAAGUGCCCAAAUGCCUUAAAGGGGCGAUUUCUCCCAAAUGAGUCAGGCCUGGACUCCAGGUAGCUGAUGCGGACUGGUUGGCAUUCGAGGUGUUCUGUGUUCCUAGCAUUCUCUCCGACAGUCUGGCAGGGCACAGCAUGUGGCUCUUGCCUGUCUGCCACAAGGUCCAGGGACCAGUGUAUGGGUCUGAAGUUGUGCUGUUCUAUGUCCACUGUGACAUGUCCAGAGAGCAGGCUCCCAGAGAGGUGGGUUAGACGAGUGCCCCUUGGGAAUGCUGAGAGGCAGCCUUCAUGCCACUCGAAGGUGCCUCAGACUGUAGCUCCUGGAAGCCCUAACUCCCAAGCCUUCCAGACUUGGAAGAGAAGUCGGGGAGGUCAGCUUCAGAGACUCAGAACCUGAGUGGCACCCCAAGAUCAGAUGCAUCUCUCAAAGGGGGACUCUCUAACCAAGCUCACAGGACUAAGGUGUAAACCAAUUUACAAAUGAAUAAUGAGAAACACAUCGGUCGGCAGGACCAGGGCAGCCUCCUGGUCCAUCAGCAGCUGUAAAUGCAAAGCCCAGCCGCUUCUGGAGGAAGGACGCGCCUGGAAGGAGAAGCAGGAGUCUCGUCAUCUAUCAGAAGUGGGUUUUCUCUGCAGGAAGGAGUCUGCGGGCCAGAGGGACCCCUCCCCUGGGGAGUGAUGGGUCCUGCCAGUAUUUGCCUCUGUCCUGCGUCCAUGCGUCCAUGGUUGAACCACUCUCAUGUCAAGAAGUGCGGCCUGAGAGCCCCCCAGGUGGCUGUGUCCGCACUGAUCCUCAAGGCUGGCCUCAGACCGGACUCUCAAGAGCUAGCUGUUUCCUUAGCUCCCUCGUCGUCUUAAAUGCUGAAAACACGGUCCUGCACAGGCGCAGCCGCUGGAUAAACGUUCAUAAAUAUAAGGGGGGACAGUUUUGAACUUCAAUUCUGAAAUUUUAGUUAGAGAUGUUAGUUUUGGACUUUAUUAAACUGAUUUGGUCCUGUUUGCCCCGGGACCUAUUAGUGACUCUAAGGUCCCAACCUCUAGGUCAGGAGAGGCCUGCACUGCAAUCUUCCCCCAACUCCAUGCAGAUUCCCCAACUGUGAGGCUCCCCUACAUCUUGAACGGAACUUCCCUGAACCAUGUUGCUUGUAGAUACUGAAUUUAAAUUUGAUUUUUAACCAACAGUUAUCAAACAAUUUUUGCUCAGGGUACACUGAAUUCCAGGUGUCCUGUUGGAAAUUAAGUGCAGAAAGAAACUUACUUUGCCGAUGUUUGUAUUGUCCAGGGCUGCAUCCACUUCAUCCAGAACAAAGAAUGGAGCAGGCCGGAAACUGGAAGAAAUGAGAGGUUACCGCUUCCCAUUUGUUUUACAAAGACUCAGAGGAGAGGAUUAACCAGAUGCAGAUACAUCCUCUUGGAUGCUGGUGUCUAGGUCACCAAUGAGCUGAACAUGGCUAAAUCCAAUGAUCAAUUCUCAGUCUGUGUUCCAAGGGUCCUUUGUAGGUAGUACCUGGGGUGGUGCUCCCGCCUGUUCCUCUGAUGUCAAGGGUGACAGGGUCUCUCCCUCCCCCCUCCCCCUUUACUCACUGCUCCCUCCCAGUCUGGCCUGCGAACUCCUAGUCUCUCUAUUGAACACUGCUGGUGCCGGUGCCCAGGGGGCUCAAUGCUCAGAGUGCUCCUCUAUCUAAUUAGCUCCCUGGGUGGUUUCACCUGAUCCCAAGGUUGUAAGUGACUCCACGUGUGGAUGGCUUCCACACUUCUGAGAGUUCUAAUCUCCUGAACCAGUGGUUCUCAACCUUGGCUGCACAUUAGAGUCACCUGGGAAUCUUUUUAAAAUCCUGAUUUCUGGGCCUCAUCCUCCAGAAAUUCUGUGUCUUUGUUAUGGGGUGAGGCCACAACAUUAGUAACAAAGAAACAAUUUCCGGAGGACGAGGCCCAGAAAUCAGGAUUUUAAAAAGAUUCCCAGGUGACUCUAAUGUGCAGCCAAGGCUGAGAACCACGAACUCUCACUGCACACAUUUAACAGCUUCCUCAGCGAUUCCACACGGGUGUCUGAUAAACAGCUCAAACUCAUCCAAAAUCAAACGCCUCACCUGCCUGUCCAAACCGAAUCCCUUCCGUGGUGUCCCUGUCCUCAGUUAAUGGCAGCUGUUUCACUCCAGCUGAUUAGGCCAGAACCCUUGGAGCCAUCCUGACUCCUCCAUGCCCCAUGCUUGUCUCUGAUGACCCUUCUGCUCUCACCCUGGUCCAACACUAGUUCCCUAAAGGUUAGGGACUUAACCCAUGCCUGACACUGCUGCACAGUCUCUUCUCCACCGAGGCCAGGCUCACUCUGGCCGUACAGGGCCUUUGCACUUGCUGAUCGUUAUGUCUACAUUCUUGCUCCCCUAAUUCCUUUGUAUCUUUGCGCAAUUGUUACCUUCUCAAAGAGGCCUUCCCGGAUGACUCUCUUUAAUAUUGCAAACCCUUCCCUACUACUAUCUCCAUUCCUUGCUUUAAUUUUUCUCCCUAUAGCAUUUGCUAUUUGUCAUAGUCUCACAUUAGAGAAUUCAUUUGUUAAUACACCUUAUUUAUCAACUGUCUUCCCGCCUAGAAUGAAGUUAUCUUUGAGAUGGAUUUUGCUUUGUUCUCUGCUCUCUCUCCAAUGCCUAACCACCACCUGGCACAGUAAAUAUAUGCUUAUCUGUUGAAUAAGUGGGGGUGGUGGGGGUGAUAUCUAGAAAUCAUCUUAUUCUGGCAAGAUUUACUCAACACAAGCUCCCAGUUAGACCCUGAUCGGCUUUCCCUAAGCCCCCUGCACUAAUGGCAUUUCUUUCCUGUAAUGGCCUAUUCCUCUUCCUUCUUGAGAUCAAUAAAAACCAGCUGCAGAACUUCCAUGCUAUUCUUCUUGACAUGAGAUAGAGGCAGCAUCGUCUCCUGAGAUCUUCGCCUAGUGCUCUGGAUGCUGAAAGUUAAUUGCCUUCAUGUUGGCUAACUUUUCCUUUAUUGAUUUUAUGAACAAUGCCACCAUCAGUGGAAAUGAGAGGUGAAACAUUUUUUUCAGAAGAAACACUUUGCUUAACAUUCUUUACUAAACAGAUCUCCAAAUGUGGACCAGGAAAAUAAUAUACAAGUUGUGUGCUUUUGUUUGAUUGGGGUUUGUUAUUGUUUCUUUUAAUUCUGAUGUCACAUCUGGCUAUUCCAAAUAUUUAUUUUUCUUCCUCCUUUCUAUAAAUCUAAAAUAUCAGUAGCUACUGAUAAUAGAAAUUUAAUAAAAAUCUGUUAAAGACUGAAUUUUCUCUUAGAUUAUCUGUCUAAAUUGUUAUAGACGUAAAAUAUCACCUGAAUUGUCUGGCUGGAGAAAACAGUUUUGUAUUCACAUACUGCUAAACACAACUAAAGACAAGCAAUUAACAGGAUUCUGUAGGACAAGCAUGUCAAACUCAAAGGCUAACAUGAGCCAAAGAAACGAGGCCUGCGGCGCGACAUGCCUGCUGUAGGAGGUCCAUUUGGUUUCUGUGCUGAUACAAAAGCCCCACAGCUCACGGUGACCUCACCUGUGCACAGCGAACAGGAGCGCCAGAGCUGCCACACAUUUUUCUCCCCCUGACAAGUUGUCCAUCGGCAUGAACCGUUUGCCGGGGGCCACACAGUUAUAGCCGAUUCCCUCCAAGUAAGGCUCUUC